GGGCAGAGCAGCAAGGUGUGCUCAAUCGUCUCCGGUUCCUGCUUACAUAUUGGGCAUAAGGGAUCAGGAUUUUUGAUUUUGGGGAUAAGAAUAAUCUGGGUUCUAUUCAUGGCUGGGUUGAUAGUUCCCAUUUCAAAGAAAAGCUGCACUUCCCUAAGAAUGUCUUCGCCUAUGUCGUGCCAGUGCUGCUGAAAAAAGAGGCCAUUCAGACCAUCUGGGCCGGGAGCUUUGGUGGCACCCAAUUGGCUGAAAAUUCCGAGGACCUGUUGAAGUAUACAAGUUGCUGAAGAAUUCCAUCGUCAUGUGUUUGAGGGUCUGAUUGUCCCUCACCCAGUCUCCUUCUUCAGUCAUCAGCAUGGGCUGUUCAUCCGAUAUUGGAGCUCAUUUUUCAGGCCUUCGAUUUUUUUAUAUGCGUUGGGGAAUCGGUUUUUACUCCAGGCCUCUAAUCGAGUAGCC